UCUCCGUAGGUGAACCUGCGGAGGGAUCAUUACUGAGUGAGGGCUCACGCCCGACCUCAAACCCUUUGUGAACACAAUCUUGUUGCUUCGGGGGCGCCCCUGCCGGCACUACGUCGCCGGGCGCUCCCGAAGGUCUCCAAACACUGCAUCUUUGCGUCGGAGUUUAAACAAAUUAAACAAAACUUUCAACAACAGAUCUCUUAGUUCUGGCAUCGAUGAAGAACGCAGC
rnacentral:misc_RNA from 1 species